GGGCCGCUAGCUCAUCGGGUUAGAGCAGGGGACUUUUAAUCCCAAGGUGCCGGGUUCGAGUCCCGGGCGGCCCACCA
rnacentral:tRNA from 2 species